rnacentral:rRNA from 1 species
AGUGAACGCUGGCGGUAGGCCUAACACAUGCAAGUCGAACGGCAGCACAGUAAGAGCUUGCUCUUACGGGUGGCGAGUGGCGGACGGGUGAGGAAUACAUCGGAAUCUACUUUUUCGUGGGGGAUAGCGUAGGGAAACUUACGCUAAUACCGCAUACGACCUACGGGUGAAAGCAGGGGAUCUUCGGACCUUGCGCGAUUGAAUGAGCCGAUGUCGGAUUAGCUAGUUGGCGGGGUAAAGGCCCACCAAGGCGACGAUCCGUAGCUGGUCUGAGAGGAUGAUCAGCCACACUGGAACUGAGACACGGUCCAGACUCCUACGGGAGGCAGCAGUGGGGAAUAUUGGACAAUGGGCGCAAGCCUGAUCCAGCCAUACCGCGUGGGUGAAGAAGGCCUUCGGGUUGUAAAGCCCUUUUGUUGGGAAAGAAAAGCAGCAGGUUAAUACCCCGCUAUUCUGACGGUACCCAAAGAAUAAGCACCGGCUAACUUCGUG